UACGGAGGGUGCAGGCGUUAAUCGGAAUUACUGGGCGUAAAGGGUGCGUAGGUUGUUUUUUAAGUUAUCUGUAAAAUCCCUGGGCUCAACCUGGGCAUGUCAGAUAAGACUGAGAGACUCGAGUAUGGGAGAGGGUAGUGGAAUUUCCGGUGUAGCGGUGAAAUGCGUAGAGAUCGGAAGGAACACCAGUGGCGAAGGCGGCUACCUGGCCUAAUACUGACACUGAGGCACGAAAGCGUGGGGAGCAAACAGG
rnacentral:rRNA from 1 species